UACGGGGGGGCAAGCGUUGUUCGGAAUUACUGGGCGUAAAGGGCUCGUAGGCGGCCCACUAAGUCCGACGUGAAAUCCCCAGGCUUAACUUGGGAACUGCGUCGGAUACUGGUGGGCUUGAAUCCGGGAGAGGGAUGCGGAAUUCCAGGUGUAGCGGUGAAAUGCGUAGAUAUCUGGAGGAACACCGGUGGCGAAGGCGGCAUCCGUGGACCGGCAUUGACGCUGAGUGAGCGAAAGCCAGGGGAGC
rnacentral:rRNA from 1 species